UAGGAGAAAGAUAUAUCAUAUGCAACGCAGAGUUGGUUACAAAUCAACAGGGUUAUGUCGGUCUCCGCAUGCUAUGUUUCCUGCGCACGCAUUUGUACAUUCAAGAUGUUUAUGGGUAAAAUGAAUGUUAUAGGACGCAAAUUUGUUGUUAACAACUGGAAAAUAUAGUAACGUAUAUUCUUUUCAUCAGUUUCAUAACUUCCAGUAUGUAUUAUAGAGCGAUAUUAAUCUAUAACUUAAAAUCAAGCAUACAAGAAUGAAUCAAGAUUUUCAUUCGUUUGUUCCUCCAUGAUUUAUACAAAUGGAAGACAUUUCAUAGAACGAAUCGUCGGUAAGGAACUAAAACUAUGAAAUCUGUUUUUACUACUGUACGUAUAAUUAAAAAAUUGAUUGUACAUCGUUUGCAGUCGUUAACACAGUGAAGCGUUAGCGUUUACUUUUAGAGAUUUCUUUGCAUUGUAUUAAAAGGAAAAUUUUAAUUCAGAUAUCCGCGAGACAGGUAGUAAAUCAUAUUUUACAACUUUCCAUAUAAUAUGAUGUGAAAUUUGUUGAGAAUGUAAUAAAUUCAGCUAUACAGGACACUUAAAAAUAUGCCGAUGAGCAUAAGAUGCAAAUAGAACUCGUAGAAACGAAAUACGAAGAAUUUAUGAAUCAUAAAAUCAUGUUUUUUAAUAGAAUUAUUAGUAUGUUCGUAUCUAUUUUACAAAUAUAUAUUACUCAAAACAAUUAGAGCAUUGCGUUUUUAUAAUAUCUUUAGUCAUAUUUUUAUCGAAUGUCCAAUGUAUAUGCUAUUGAAUUUUUGUUCUAAAAAAACAAGUAUCAUUAAAUAGUAAAGUCAUUUCACGAGGUAAUUCCUUAAUUGUUUUGAGUUAUUAUAAGCUACUGAAAAUGGUGAACAUUUAUCCAAAAUAUGUAAUUUUCAAAAUUCACUUCUGUCAACGAUCUCUUCCAAGUUUUCUAGGAUGUCCUCAUGAAGUUAAACUCAUACUGUUAAAUUGGUUUCCAUUUGCGAAAUAUCUUUACUAUUACACACAUCUGUAUUAUUCAUUGAACUGAAAAAUAGGGUGUUUCUAUAUGAUCGAUAGUAUGUAUAGGUAAUAUUUGUGCGCACAUAUACUUAAGCGAGCGCAGGGGAGAAUCUGUUUUAAAAAAUAUCCCAGAUGUAUGACAAAAAUAACUUUGUCUCACGAAGAAUCUUCUUGUGAACUUAUAUGUAUAUAAAAGUAGUUUCGAUAUUUCAUUGGCAUUGUGAAUAGUUGAGAGGACGAUCUAAGUCCCGAGAUAGUUUUCUUCUUUUCUUUUUUUGAAAUCCGAACUAGUGAAGCGACUUUUUAUGGCGACGCGAUAUAAAAAUUAGAUUUCGAUAGAGAUACUCAUAGAUCAAUUCAAAUGUCAGACCAUCAGAUUAUGUGAUUAACACCAGACAUUAUAAAAAAACUGAAUCGAUUAUGUAGAUGAUGUCUUAUUGUAUAAUUACAAGCUACUAAGUCGAGGGCUGACGACAUCCAUAUUAGAGUUCGUAUAUUGAAAAUUUUUGGUCCUUACGUUUUCUCUACUGUACAAUACUCUUAAAUAAAUUACAUUGGAUCUAAGAUGAUUCUUGCUUUCUGCUUUAUCUUUUCUCGCGUAAACAGUGAAACAACGAUUUUUUCACGUUACUUUCUCUUUACUAAAACGCUAAACUAUCUACAUUCUCUGAGCAUUCUUACAGAGGAUCAUUUUAUCGUGUAUUUGCCUCUAAAAUGCCGACAAUCAGGUUGCUUAGAAUUUUGUGAGGAUCGGUACGAGGUUGAUUUAAAUUUCAUAUAAUACAUAACGGUACGUUUCAUCAUCUUAAACUGUUAGUCAUGUGUGUUAAAUUAAUUAAAAUUGGAUAUGAUUAAGUAACUAGUCGAAAGAGAAAAUGGAAGUAUGAAGUGGAACUUAAAUAUGGUAUAAGUGAGACAGAUCUUAUUGGCUGCGCAAAAACAAACGUUAUCCAUCGAUAUUUCGCCAGAAAAACUUUUGUUCGCUUGCAAAUUUUUAAUCAGGUACAUACAUAAACGGUAAUUGUAGUUCACUGUCUUCGUUUACUUGUUCUAGGAAA